GGUUUAUAGUUUAUAAAAUAUUAAUUUGUCAGGUUAAAGAUGUCAAUAUUCCUCAAUUGAGUC
rnacentral:tRNA from 2 species